GCUAGAAACACCUGGACAGUAUCUGUUGUUGCCUUUAUCACUGAAAUAAGUUUGUAGUCAUAGUAAUGAACAAGAGACUUACUAAUUCAUCUCUCCAUGGAGCUGCAGAAUAUACUUAUUGCUCCAGAGUGGUUGCCAGUUCUCUCCAAGCUUCCUGUUCUGCAUUUGGAAAGCUGCUAAUAUUCCAAAGAUCAUGCUGGAUUGACAGGAUCUAUUGAGCAUCUGAUAAAGAAGUCCAGAUGCGAUACGGAAGUGGCAAGAAGAAUCUUGUCUUGCCCACUUGUUGCUUUGCUAGUUUCUGAGCAAACUGUUCUCUUCUGUUCUCUUCUGCCAAGCCACUCUGUGUAGGAGCCAGAUGACUGUGGACUGAAACUUCUACAAACUGUGAGCUAAAUAAACCUUUCUCCCUUAAA